UAAGAGGUUCAGUAAGAUAGCUUUCCUCGUACUGCUAUAAAUCAUUUUCUUUUCGUGGUUUUUAUCAAUUAAUGAUUGAUUAUAAAGUUUUCUAAACUUGUAUGUUUUGUCAUGGCAUAAUAACAUAUUAUACAUGGAGCACAAAUGUGUCAAAUUUACCUAAUUUACAAAAUAAAUAUUUUUUUUUAUGGUCAGAUGGCUUCAAAAGACAAAAAGCACAGGGCUAUGGGUGAUGAGGAGUGGAUGUCCCGCCUGCGACGGUUCGCUGCUGUUGGGGUCUGGCCCUCUGAUGCAGGAAACAGGCCGGCACCACGUCAGAAAAAGUGGCAUGAUCUGUAUCUGAAGAUUGAGAAAUGCCCGAUGCAGCGGAGGGGACAAAUGUCUCUGUUUGGAGGGACACAGACAUGCAGCUGUGGCUUCCAUACAAAGAAGCCCUCCAGCUCGGUACCUGCCUCUCCCUCAGUGACACCACAACCAAGACUCUCAACGCCACCAGUGUCAGGAUCCUCCUCUUCAACACCUGGUCCGACAGUGCGUAAGCCCG